UUUUCCUACGGGGGGCAGCAGUUGGUUAUCUUGCACCAUGUUUGAAACCCUGAUGCAGCGACGCCGUGUGGGCGAAGAAGUAUUUCGGUAUGUAAAGCCCUAUCAGCAGGGAAGAAGAAAUGACGGUACCUGAGUAAGAAGCACCGGCUAAAUACGUGCCAGCAGCCGCGGUAAUACGUAUGGUGCAAGCGUUAUCCGGAUUUACUGGGUGUAAAGGGAGCGCAGGCGGCACGGCAAGCCUGAUGUGAAAGCCCGCGGCCCAACCGCGGGACUGCAUUGGGAACUACCGGGCUGGAGUGCCGGAG
rnacentral:rRNA from 1 species